rnacentral:lncRNA from 1 species
UAUAUAUAUAUAUAUAUAUAUAUCUAUUAGCUACUUAUAAUUAACAACAACUUCAUAUAUAUUAUCAAAUACAUCAACCAAAUACGAUCAACACAUAUAUAUAUAUAUAUAUAUAUAUAUAUACACAUCAAACGUAUACUCAAAAUCUAUCAAUUUAAUCACACUCAAAAUCGAUCAAUAACUCAAAAUCAACAUAUAUACACAUGUACGUACCUAUAUAUAGCUCCACUUCUUAAUAAUGGACAGAUUUCAACAACACCCAAACUUUUUCUCCCGUUUUUUCUUCUCCCGUUUUCUUUUCUCAGAUGAGCUGCUGUCCAGAUCUGCGAAUAUAAAGAACUUAAGCCGACGAAAUUAUAUUUUCGUCGGCUAAAGUCUUUCUUCUGGUAGUGGCAACAAACAUGCAAUACCACAUGAGGCAACGUAUAACUGAAACUAUUCUCCCUUCAAAUAUGUGGUGACCUAACUAGGCAGGCAGGCUAGUAGGUGCACCGUCCCACAUCGCCCGGGGGAGACAAGUUCAUAUGCUUAUAUAUGCAGAGCUAGCACCUUACAUUGAGACGUUGAGAUGCGUUUUGGGGUGAUACCUCAAGAACAAAACCAUGAGGGCUGGUGGGCCCAAAGUGGACAAUAUCUCAAUGGUAGGCACUAGGCUGUUAAAGAUGGUAUCAGAGCCUGUCCCCGCCCGGAAGUGUGCCGACGCGAAUGUCGGUCCCCUAAGAGGGGUGGAUUGUAGUGACCUAACUAGGCAAGCAGGCUAGUAGGUGCACCCGUCCCACAUCGCCCGGGGAAGACAAGUUGCUAUGCUUAUAUGUGCAGACCUAACACUUUACAUUGAGAUGCGUUUUGGGGUGAAACCUCAAGAACAAAACCGUGAGGGCCGAUGGGCCCAAAGCGGACAAUAUCUCAAUGGUAGGGACUGGGCUGUUACAAAAUAUUAGCUUACUCACUAUUAAAACAUCUCCAACAGCUUCCCCAAAAUUUCUUUUAAAUGAGGAAGCAAAAGUCAUAAUCUUUAAAAAAAAUUCUGCUCCAACUCUAACAACUUCCUCACUUUGAAGAUUUAGGCAUUUAUAUAUUUUCUAUUAUACCAAUAAAUAAUCAAUAAAAUAUUUUAAAUAAUUUUCUUCUUGUUGGAGCAUGUGAAGAAUAUAUGACGAAUUUGACAUUUGCUGCAAAUUUGGGGAAGUAUUCCUUCUCUUUCUUCUCCAAACCUAUUUUAGGGAAUGAGAUAAGUGAAAUUGUUGGCCUAAAAAAAACUCAAUAUUGAGAAAAUCGAGAAAAUGGAGAAGCUGUUAGUGGUGCUCUUAUGUGUCACCAAAAAGUUUUUCCAGCAUCUCUAGCUACUAUCGUGGACAAAAACAAAACUCGCUCUCACAUUUUUUCACUUUUAUCAUAUUAUUAAAACUCACAUAUAUAUAUUCUUUUAACAUCUAUUUAACUACAUCUUAAGUGCUUCCGAAUCAUGAUUCUCAUCGUCUCCUUGAUGAGACAAAUUGAAACCACGUAAGUUUUUAUCGGGUUUUUCGUCGAGUUACUGAGAAAACUGUGUUCGGUUAACGCUCGAGUAUAUUUUCGAGUUUUUGUCGAGAUAUCAAAUUCUUCUUUUACGGCCCCAAGGUAAGUUUCUUUCUUGAUGAGACAAGUCGUGUGUUCAAAGACUAUAAUUGUUAUUAUGAACCAUGAAAGUGUUGUUAUGCAUUUCCGAAGAACCGAACAUGCAAUACCGGAUGAGGCAACGUACAACUGAAACUAUUCUCC